CACGUGAGCAACCUGCCCUGGACUCUGGGAUAAGCGCUGGAAACGGCGUCUAAUACUGGAUAUGAGACGUGAUCGCAUGGUCGUGUUUGGAAAGAUUUUUCGGUCUGGGAUGGGCUCGCGGCCUAUCAGCUUGUUGGUGAGGUAAUGGCUCACCAAGGCGUCGACGGGUAGCCGGCCUGAGAGGGUGACCGGCCACACUGGGACUGAGACACGGCCCAGACUCCUACGGGAGGCAGCAGUGGGGAAUAUUGCACAAUGGGCGGAAGCCUGAUGCAGCAACGCCGCGUGAGGGAUGACGGCCUUCGGGUUGUAAACCUCUUUUAGCAGGGAAGAAGCGAAAGUGACGGUACCUGCAGAAAAAGCGCCGGCUAACUACGUGCCAGCAGCCGCGGUAAUACGUAGGGCGCAAGCGUUAUCCGGAAUUAUUGGGCGUAAAGAGCUCGUAGGCGGUUUGUCGCGUCUGCUGUGAAAUCCCGAGGCUCAACCUCGGGCCUGCAGUGGGUACGGGCAGACUAGAGUGCGGUAGGGGAGAUUGGAAUUCCUGGUGUAGCGGUGGAAUGCGCAGAUAUCAGGAGGAACACCGAUGGCGAAGGCAGAUCUCUGGGCCGUAACUGACGCUGAGGAGCGAAAGGGUGGGGAGCAAACAGGCUUAGAUACCCUGGUAGUCCACCCCGUAAACGUUGGGAACUAGUUGUGGGGACCAUUCCACGGUUUCCGUGACGCAGCUAACGCAUUAAGUUCCCCGCCUGGGGAGUACGGCCGCAAGGCUAAAACUCAAAGGAAUUGACGGGGACCCGCACAAGCGGCGGAGCAUGCGGAUUAAUUCGAUGCAACGCGAAGAACCUUACCAAGGCUUGACAUAUACGAGAACGGGCCAGAAAUGGUCAACUCUUUGGACACUCGUAAACAGGUGGUGCAUGGUUGUCGUCAGCUCGUGUCGUGAGAUGUUGGGUUAAGUCCCGCAACGAGCGCAACCCUCGUUCUAUGUUGCCAGCACGUAAUGGUGGGAACUCAUGGGAUACUGCCGGGGUCAACUCGGAGGAAGGUGGGGAUGACGUCAAAUCAUCAUGCCCCUUAUGUCUUGGGCUUCACGCAUGCUACAAUGGCCGGUACAAAGGGCUGCAAUACCGUAAGGUGGAGCGAAUCCCAAAAAGCCGGUCCCAGUUCGGAUUGAGGUCUGCAACUCGACCUCAUGAAGUCGGAGUCGCUAGUAAUCGCAGAUCAGCAACGCUGCGGUGAAUACGUUCCCGGGUCUUGUACACACC
rnacentral:rRNA from 1 species